GUUGAAGUGGCAGAGAAGUGCGCUAGAUUUAGGAUCUAGAUAUAAAGAAUGUCUUUCUUCAACU
rnacentral:tRNA from 1 species